rnacentral:sRNA from 1 species
GAGGGCUAGAGCAAAGACCGAGAGCCGGAGAAAGGCGAAAGGCGCGGUGAGCAAUCGCCGACGUAGAGAGGGCAGCCCUUGGCGCUGCAAUAUUGAGAAGGCACCCGCGGGACGCAUGCGCACGGCGGACGGAGGCGAGCCGGCCGGGGCUUCCUCCCCGGCCGGCAGGGUGGACGGUGGGCUCGGUCUUUGCAUGCACCACCACAUCUGGCUAAUCAAGUGAAGAUGAGGCCAAACUGGAUGAAGGCGGGCCUGAAAUCCAACGACUGGUGACCUUAUAAGGAGGGAGAGCUUCAAAGACCCAGGCAGUCAUAGAGGGAAGAAGGGCAAGUGGCAAAGAAGACAGAGAUUGGGUUUCUGUUGCCACCGAGGCUGCCAGAAGAGGCAAGGAAGAAUCCUCCCCUAGAGCCUUCAGAGGCAGAUGCCUGGCCCUGCUGACGGUUUGGUUUUGAACUUUUAGCCUCCAGAACUGUGCAAGAAUAAAUUUAUGUUGUUUUAAGCCAUCAGGUUUGUGGUAAUUUGUUAUGGCAGCUCUAGGGAACUAAUCCAGAUGUUAAAGUUUAUUCUUACAUGGAAAUUGAGGUUUCUAAUAAAAGGUGUGUGGACGUGG